AAGUCGAACGCUUUGUGGUUCAACUGAUUUGAAGAGCUUGCUCAGAUAUGACGAUGGACAUUGCAAAGAGUGGCGAACGGGUGAGUAACACGUGGGAAACCUACCUCUUAGCAGGGGAUAACAUUUGGAAACAGAUGCUAAUACCGUAUAACAAUGACAACCGCAUGGUUGUUAUUUAAAAGAUGGUUCUGCUAUCACUAAGAGAUGGUCCCGCGGUGCAUUAGCUAGUUGGUAAGGUAAUGGCUUACCAAGGCGAUGAUGCAUAGCCGAGUUGAGAGACUGAUCGGCCACAAUGGGACUGAGACACGGCCCAUACUCCUACGGGAGGCAGCAGUAGGGAAUCUUCCACAAUGGGCGAAAGCCUGAUGGAGCAACGCCGCGUGUGUGAUGAAGGGUUUCGGCUCGUAAAACACUGUUGUAAGAGAAGAAUGACAUUGAGAGUAACUGUUCAAUGUGUGACGGUAUCUUACCAGAAAGGAACGGCUAAAUACGUGCCAGCAGCCGCGGUAAUACGUAUGUUCCAAGCGUUAUCCGGAUUUAUUGGGCGUAAAGCGAGCGCAGACGGUUAUUUAAGUCUGAAGUGAAAGCCCUCAGCUCAACUGAGGAAUUGCUUUGGAAACUGGAUGACUUGAGUGCAGUAGAGGAAAGUGGAACUCCAUGUGUAGCGGUGAAAUGCGUAGAUAUAUGGAAGAACACCAGUGGCGAAGGCGGCUUUCUGGACUGUAACUGACGUUGAGGCUCGAAAGUGUGGGUAGCAAACAGGAUUAGAUACCCUGGUAGUCCACACCGUAAACGAUGAGUGCUAGGUGUUUGAGGGUUUCCGCCCUUAAGUGCCGCAGCUAACGCAUUAAGCACUCCGCCUGGGGAGUACGACCGCAAGGUUGAAACUCAAAGGAAUUGACGGGGACCCGCACAAGCGGUGGAGCAUGUGGUUUAAUUCGAAGCAACGCGAAGAACCUUACCAGGUCUUGACAUCCCUUGACAACUCCAGAGAUGGAGCGUUCCCUUCGGGGACAAGGUGACAGGUGGUGCAUGGUUGUCGUCAGCUCGUGUCGUGAGAUGUUGGGUUAAGUCCCGCAACGAGCGCAACCCUUAUUACUAGUUGCCAGCAUUCAGUUGGGCACUCUAGUGAGACUGCCGGUGACAAACCGGAGGAAGGUGGGGAUGACGUCAAAUCAUCAUGCCCCUUAUGACCUGGGCUACACACGUGCUACAAUGGCGUAUACAACGAGUUGCCAACCCGCGAGGGUGAGCUAAUCUCUUAAAGUACGUCUCAGUUCGGAUUGUAGGCUGCAACUCGCCUACAUGAAGUCGGAAUCGCUAGUAAUCGCGGAUCAGCACGCCGCGGUGAAUACGUUCCCGGGUCUUGUACACACCGCCCGUCACACCAUGAGAGUUUGUAACACCCAAAGCCGGUGGGGUAACCUUCGGGAGCCAGCC
rnacentral:rRNA from 1 species